AAGACAAAGUUCGUAUCCAUUUAUAUACAUCCAAAGCUCGUCCAGCAUUGCUCUUAUUUAGGAAUAAACAGAUUUACGCAUCCUUUACAAAGUUACAUAGAUUUUAUCAUAGAUCCAUCAAUAGCCAUGCAUGGACUUAUCAGACACGAAUAAAUGACAGCAAGUAGAGUAGUAGCCCUCAGCCGGAGACCGGCAGAGAAGCAGUGGAGACUAGAGACGACUAGCUAGAGACUAGAAUAGCUAGAGGGAGCCUGAGACCCAGGUGGACCAAAGAUUUCAACACAGGUGACCUGCCGGUUGCAUGGACGCGUAAGCGGCUGAUCAAGUCUCCACGAACUUGGUGGAAGCAUGGAACUUGGCGAUGAACGCCGACGCCUUCAUGUCGACGUCGCGCUCGCCGACGUACCACAGCCCGUCCUCGUCGCUUGGCCGCACCUUCCUCGACGACCGCCGCAGCUGCUCGUACCCCGGCUCGUCGGCGUCGUACCCUCCUGACCCGAAGCAGGACAAGCUGGCUCCCAUGUCGAUCGGCAGUCGCUUGCUUGUAGGCUUUGUAGCUUCUUCUUCUUGCCUCCCUAAGCUUCUUAGAGCGCAGACAGUUAUCAGGCACUAGCAGUGAGCUCACUAGGAAGCUGCGUGC
rnacentral:lncRNA from 1 species